GCGGCGGGGGUGGAAGAGGGAACCGAGGCCAGCGACGGGGGUGGGAGAGGGAGCCGAGGUCGGCGACGGGGGUGAGAGAGGGAGCCGAGGCCGGCGGAGGGGUGUGAGGUUGGUGCCUAGCUCGGCGGCGCCAACGGGACGUGGUCUAGCGCAGCGGGUCUUGGUGGGCAGCGGUGGUGCAGGAGGGGCGCGACGGCGAUAGAGAGGAACGAGGCGGCGGUCGGCUCGUGGAGGAGUGGAGGUAACAACAAGUCGUGAAGGAGGUCAAGGAGGCUACCCCCGACGCGAGUAGGUGAGGAUGACGACUGGGUCGAGUGAGGUUAGGGAGGUGGUGCGAUGGAGGAGGGCAACCACUCGGAGGCAACUACAUCGUGGGGUCGGCAAGUGACACCGGUGGGGCCCGGCAAGUUGUUCUGUCGUUCGUGUACAAAAGUCUUAGGUCGUCAUUUCGACCACGAGACAGAAGGUGAGAAGGCAAGUAGCAGAUCCGUGACAGGCUGACGCUUCUACCUCAGGAUGAGGAUGCGUUUGCCCGGUUUAAACUAACGAACGACAAACUGUACCUACUAUGGGAGAUGGGUGAUUCGAAUCCCUAGUUGAAUCGGACGGCGUUCUUGUAGGUUCCAUUCAUGUCAUCAUGUCAUUAUUUGAAUGUGGUUAGGAGACAAAAGUACGAUGUCUUAAGCACACGAGUAUGAUGAACAUAGAUGGUUUAGCGUAUGAUGUACGACUUGUUCGAAGUCCAGCUCCUCCCGGACUAGGGGUUCUACACGAACCUAAACAUGUUUCUUAUACCUUAAUUCUACCGACGAAGACACACACACACACACACACACACACACACACCUAUACACAAUUGACCACCGGCCACCACACACACACACACACACGUCCCAUGACGGCCUCUAUUCAUCAUUCACCGUUUCACAGAACUCCGUCGUCGUUCUGCUCCGUAUUUCGACCGCUCGUCCAGUGAGCAGACUUCCCAGGUGUUGUAUACAAAGUCUUCUAGUCAUGGUAGUAACGUUUGUCUAGUCAUGGUAGUAAUGUUUUUCGUUUAGGAACCUAGAGCCCUUCUAUAUUUCGCAUACGUGUUCUACCUAAACCCUACGUAUGUCUAAGAGUAAAGAACAGGAGUGGAAUGAGGGACUACCUUAUCCUGUCUGUUUGGAACUCCCGUACCUGAUGAUGUUGUUAAACUAUCUGCUCGACUAUGAUGUAACGGAGUGGGUUGUGGAGGGGAUCGCUCAACGGUGGGUCGGGGAAGGAGGUACCGAGUGGAGGAGAGGGAGGUGGGGGCUCCAGGAGGGGACGUUCAGGUGCAACCUCACGGCAGAAAGCGUCGUCUCGCCUACUGGUCCCUGUGCUCAGGGACGACCUCGCGAGGAAGAGUUGGUCGUUAGUACUAGAACUCUCCGAGCGACAGUUCUGAUUUCCAGAAGGGGACCGAGGGCGGGAAGGAGGCUACAGUAGGUGAAACUUCUGUGACUGCGUGGGGUAGUCCAGUACCUCGUUCGUACCCUUUUUUCCCUGAACGUAGGGCGACAGCACGUUCGGGACGAAGGGCGACCGCGGGUAGAGGUGCAAUCAAGCUAGACCCGAGACGGGACGAGCACGUUGGGUAGCAGCGGCCGUCGGCGACACCGGAGCACGGAUCGCGAGAGACACGCGUUGCGGAUCCGGUAAGUGACGGAGGUGUGUUCCGGCAAACUGCUGCGUUACGAGUUCGUCAAGUGGGAAUGGUGGUGUUCAGCAAUUGGAGGCGGUGUGCCCCGGCACGCUGUUACGUCGCUAGUCCGGUAAGUGGAGACGGUGGCGGGACGUGGAGCUGCAGCUCGUACCGGGAGGGCACUCUCUAGCCUCUCUAUUCCGCGAGGAUGGUGGAAGAAGGGGCACCUAGGUCGAGGACAAGGGGCAGCUGUCGUCCUCUGUGCUCCAGCGGAGGCCGCGACGACCACCGCACUUCCGGCAGUUUACCACUAUAUAAACCUGUGAACGGAGCAGUCAUGUUGUCGUGCGAGGUGUCGGCCAGUCCUCUUCUCAACGUACGUCCGGUGGGAGACGAGGCAGGAGCUAGGCCGCGUCAGUAGAGGGAGAGUAGGAGAGAGACGAGGCACACACACACACGUCCCUCACCUUCCUCUAUCACGUCCCCUCACCCUCCAGGAAGGUACCACUUAAGUAUCCGUAGAAGGUACCUCUAACACUUGAGAGAGCUAAUAACGAACUCCUAAAUACAACCAGACAGGUGAUAUCAAGGACAUAUCACCGCAGGAGAAAAAGAUCACAAAGAGAAAACUACAACAACGUCCACAAAUUAUUGGGUGACUAUACUAAAGACCUUUGUUCGAAGUCAUAUCUCUUCGAAGCCAUGCUCUUUUUUACCCAGUAGUGAAGUAGGUAUACGUUGGAGGACGCACCAGCAUGUAAAAAUAAACCUAGAUGAGCGACACACCAGUAGGUAUACACAUAACACAACAGUCCAGCACACGUUCAAACAAUGUUCAAGUAAAUAUACAACCAUUGGUGACAAUAACGACGAUCGAUAGCUAGACUGACAACAUAAUGACAUCGGGGAAGCGACCGAAUUAGAGGAUGAUAAACGAUCGAACCGUAACAAUAAUGACAUCGGGGAAGCGACCGAAUUAGAGGAUGAUAAACGAUCGAACCGUAACAUUUUUG
rnacentral:rRNA from 1 species